AACUGUGAAUGUUUGGGAAUAGAAUCCAGUUGGCCAGGUUUGGAUCAGAUGCCUUUCCCUGAUCCCAUUGCUUUGCCGGGUAGGAAGGCUCUCAUCCCUAUAGAUCAAGGGGCAGUUUCCAGAGGAAAGAGCAGUCGUUGUGAACAGCGCUGAUGCUAGAAGUCUCUAUGGUUUGGAAAUGAGUGGUUUUUAAAAAAUUUAUUUUUAAAGAAGAUUAGCCCAGAGCUAACAUUUGCCACCAAUCCUCCUCUUUUUGCCGAGGAAGACCGACCCUGAGCUAACAUCUGUGUCCAUCUUCUUCCUCGUUUUUAUAUGUGGGAUGCCUGCCACAGCGUGGCUCAACAAGCAGUGCAUAAGUCCACACUCAGGAUCCAAACUGGCGAACCCCGGGCCGCGGAAGCAGAACAUGUGAACUUAACCGCUGCACCACUGGGCUGGCCCCAAGAAACCGAUGGUUUUGAAUUGCAUUCUAUGCUCUGGGAAGAACAUUUGGUGAAGUCGCCACAGAGCAAUAUUAGUAAGUGUUGUGUGUCUUCUUUCUCAUAAACGUCUUCAUUACAAGAUCAUGUAACUGGUACUUCACUAGAGCUUGCUCUGAUGGGUCUCUUCAGCUAAUAAAUCACAUCAUGUUAUGAUUUUCAAC
rnacentral:lncRNA from 1 species